ensembl:snRNA U1 U1 spliceosomal RNA
AUACUUACCUGGCAGGGGAGACAAUAUGAUCAGGAAAGUAGUUUUCCCAGGGCGAGGCUCAUUCUUUGCACUUGGGAUGUGCUGACCUCUGCGAUUUCCCCAAAUGCGGGAAAUUCGACUGCGUAAUUUGUGGUAGUGGGGGACUGCAUUUGUGCUCUCCCCUG